UGGGGAAUAUUGGACAAUGGGGGAAACCCUGAUCCAGCAAUGCCGCGUGAGUGAAGAAGGCCUUAGGGUUGUAAAGCUCUUUCGCCCGCGAAGAUAAUGACGGUAGCGGGAGAAGAAGCCCCGGCUAACUCCGUGCCAGCAGCCGCGGUAAUACGGAGGGGGCUAGCGUUGUUCGGAAUUACUGGGCGUAAAGCGUACGUAGGCGGAUGCGCAAGUUGGGGGUGAAAUCCCGGGGCUUAACCUCGGAAUUGCCCUCAAAACUGCACGUGUUGAGACCGAGAGAGGUAAGGGGAAUUCCUAGUGUAGAGGUGAAAUUCGUAGAUAUUAGGAAGAACACCAGUGGCGAAGGCGCCUUACUGGCUCGGUACUGACGCUGAGGUACGAAAGCGUGGGGAGCAAACA
rnacentral:rRNA from 1 species